rnacentral:lncRNA from 1 species
UUAUGUUUCAUUUCCGUAUUUAAUAAUUUAAAUAAUUAAAUGGUUCAGUUAGAUGAUUACUAUUAUUGUUUGAAUGUUCGUAAACUUGUAUGAGUUAAUAUUUUCCAUCAUGCUUGCGAUUGGAGAUUUAUGAAUAUUUGGUUUUGGUUUUACAUAUUUAUGCAUCGUGGUUUUUUACCCCUCGAGGUAAUCGAUUUUCAAAAUGGAGUUUCCAAGUGGAAAAUAGUUUUAAUAAGGUUUUUGAAUGGUUUUAUGGAUAAUUAAAUAGAGUUUAAAAACAAAGCUUCCGGAUGUUGAUCACUUUUAAAUAGGAUG